CAUGAUGCCUGGAAUAAGGGUCUAAGGGAAUGUGGUGUGAAACCACAGCUGCCCCCGCAACUGUAAAAGAUGUGAUGUGGAUCGCAGAGGAAGUUUCUCUUCCUCAAUCACUGGGGCGUGAUCCCUGGGAAGAUUUUCUACAUCGUCAAUGCUUAAGCCAGGAGACCUGCCCUUAUCAGUGUCCUAUG
rnacentral:ncRNA from 2 species